CAAUUUUACCUUUUUUGAAUGAUGAUGAUAAAGAAUACGUUUUACGAGAAAUAAAAAAUACAUCCCACGUUAAAAAGCUCUUGGAAGAUUUAAAUAAAUUAUUAUUAAGUGGAAUAC